rnacentral:misc_RNA from 1 species
AAGUCGUAACAAGGUUUCCGUAGGUGAACCUGCGGAAGGAUCAUUACUGAGUUGCUGACAAGAGUUGUUGCUGGUCCCCUCAGAUGGGGAGACAUGUGCACGCUCUGUCUGUACAUCCACUCACACCUGUGCACCCUCUGUAGUUCUAUGGCUGGGGGGAUUUCUGUCCUCCUUCUGUGGUUCUGCAUCUUUACACACACUCACUGUAUCAAAGUCUCAUGGAAUGUAUGCCGUGAUUAACGCAAUACAAUACAACUUUCAGCAACGGAUCUCUUGGCUCUC